ensembl:rRNA 5S_rRNA 5S ribosomal RNA
GUCUUCGGCCACACCACCCUGAAUGUAACCAAUCUCAUCUGAUCUUGGAAGUUAAGUAGGGUAGGGCCUGGUUAGUACUUGUGUGGAAGAAAAAGAGAGGAGGAAGAGA